ACUCCUACGGGAGGCUGCAGUGGGGAAUAUUGGACAAUGGGCGGAAGCCUGAUCCAGCAACGCCGCGUGAGGGAUGACGGCCUUCGGGUUGUAAACCUCUUUCAGCUCCGACGAAGUUGCUCCUUUUUGGGGGUGGUGACGGUAGGGGCAGAAGAAGGACCGGCCAACUACGUGCCAGCAGCCGCGGUAAUACGUAGGGUCCGAGCGUUGUCCGGAAUUAUUGGGCGUAAAGGGCUCGUAGGCGGUUUGUCGCGUCGGGAGUGAAAACACCGGGCUUAACUCGGUGCUUGCUUUCGAUACGGGCAGACUAGAGGUAUGCAGGGGAGAACGGAAUUCCUGGUGUAGCGGUGAAAUGCGCAGAUAUCAGGAGGAACACCGGUGGCGAAGGCGGUUCUCUGGGCAUUACCUGACGCUGAGGAGCGAAAGUGUGGGGAGCGAACAGGAUUAGAUACCCUGGUAGUCCACACCGUAAACGUUGGGCGCUAGGUGUGGGAUCCAUUCCACGGGUUCCGUGCCGUAGCUAACGCAUUAAGCGCCCCGCCUGGGGAGUACGGCCGCAAGGCUAAAACUCAAGGGAAUUGACGGGGGCCCGCACAAGCGGCGGAGCAUGCGGAUUAAUUCGAUGCAACGCGAAGAACCUUACCUGGGUUUGACAUACACCGGAAAGCUGCAGAGAUGUGGCCCCUUUUGUCGGUGUACAGGUGGUGCAUGGCUGUCGUCAGCUCGUGUCGUGAGAUGUUGGGUUAAGUCCCGCAACGAGCGCAACCCUCGUCCUAUGUUGCCAGCAGCACCUUCGGGUGGCUGGGGACUCAUGGGAGACUGCCGGGGUCAACUCGGAGGAAGGUGGGGAUGACGUCAAGUCAUCAUGCCCCUUAUGUCCAGGGCUUCACGCAUGCUACAAUGGCCGGUACAGAGGGCUGCGAUCCCGUGAGGGGGAGCGAAUCCCUAAAAGCCGGUCUCAGUUCGGAUUGGGGUCUGCAACUCGACCCCAUGAAGUCGGAGUCGCUAGUAAUCGCAGAUCAGCAACGCUGCGGUGAAUACGUUCCCGGGCCUUGUACACACCGCCCGU
rnacentral:rRNA from 1 species